UGUUGUCUCCGCGCCGAUGGUGUCCGGCCCCGGUGACGGGGUCGGCUGAAAAGGGAACACGGUGAGGAAGAGCCGAAGGGCGCCGAAUCCGUGACUGCCCCCGCAACUGUGAGCGGCGAGCCAUCCUGCAACGGCCACUGGGGCAUUGCGCUCCGGGAAGGCGCAGGACGGCCAGGACCCGCAAGUCAGGAGACCUGCCAUCGCAUCUUCAACCGC
rnacentral:ncRNA from 2 species